UGGGGAAUUUUGGACAAUGGGGGAAACCCUGAUCCAGCCAUCCCGCGUGUGCGAUGAAGGCCUUCGGGUUGUAAAGCACUUUUGGCAGGAAAGAAACGUCAUGGGUUAAUACCCCGUGAAACUGACGGUACCUGCAGAAUAAGCACCGGCUAACUACGUGCCAGCAGCCGCGGUAAUACGUAGGGUGCAAGCGUUAAUCGGAAUUACUGGGCGUAAAGCGUGCGCAGGCGGUUCGGAAAGAAAGAUGUGAAAUCCCAGAGCUCAACUUUGGAACUGCAUUUUUAACUACCGGGCUAGAGUGUGUCAGAGGGAGGUGGAAUUCCGCGUGUAGCAGUGAAAUGCGUAGAUAUGCGGAGGAACACCGAUAGCGAAGGCAGCCUCCUGGGAUAACACUGACGCUCAUGCACGAAGGCGUGGGGAGCAAACAGG
rnacentral:rRNA from 1 species